GCACAAGCGGUGGAGCAUGUGGUUAAUUCGAAGCAACGCGAAGAACCUUACCAGGCCUUGACAUGCUAGGGAACCCGGGUGAAAGCCUGGGUGCCCCGCGAGGGAGCCCUAGCACAGGUGCUGCAUGGCCGUCGUCAGCUCGUGCCGUGAGGUGUUGGGUUAAGUCCCGCAACGAGCGCAACCCCUAUUGUUAGUUGCCAUCAUUCAGUUGGGCACUCUAGCGAGACUGCCGGUAAUAAACCGGAGGAAGGUGGGGAUGACGUCAAAUCAUCAUGCCCCUUAUGACCUGGGCUACACACGUGCUACAAUGGUUGGUACAACGAGUUGCGAGUCGGUGACGGCGAGCUAAUCUCUUAAAGCCAAUCUCAGUUCGGAUUGUAGGCUGCAACUCGCCUACAUGAAGUCGGAAUCGCUAGUAAUCGCGGAUCAGCACGCCGCGGUGAAUACGUUCCCGGGCCUU
rnacentral:rRNA from 1 species